rnacentral:tRNA from 1 species
GAGGGUGUAACUCAGUGGUAGAGCACGUGCUUAGCAUGCAAGAGGUCCUGGGUUCAAUCCCCAGUAUCUCCA